rnacentral:tRNA from 1 species
GGCCGUAUGGCGUAAUGGCAACGCGUCUGACUACGAAUCAGGAGAUUGCAGGUUCGACCCCUGCUUCGGUCA